rnacentral:rRNA from 1 species
UGGGGAAUCUUGCGCAAUGGGCGAAAGCCUGACGCAGCGACGCCGCGUGAGUGAUGAAGGCCUUCGGGUUGUAAAGCUCUGUGGGGAGAGACGAAUAAGUGCAAGCUAAUACCUUGCAUGAUGACGGUAUCUCCUUAGCAAGCACCGGCUAACUCUGUGCCAGCAGCCGCGGUAAGACAGAGGGUGCAAACGUUGUUCGGAAUUACUGGGCGUAAAGCGAGUGUAGGCGGUUUCCUAAGUCAGGUGUGAAAGCCCCGGGCUCAACCCGGGAAGUGCACUUGAAACUGGGAGGCUAGAGUACUGGAGAGNUUGGUGGAAUUCUCGGUGUAGAGGUGAAAUUCGUAGAUAUCGAGAGGAACACCGGUGGCGAAGGCGGCCAACUGGACAGAUACUGACGCUGAGACUCGAAAGCGUGGGGAGCAAACA